AAAUCAACCGAGAUUCCCCCAGUAGCGGCGAGCGAACGGGGAGGAGCCCAGAACCUGAAUCAGUUUGUGUGUUAGUGGAAGCGUCUGGAAAGUCGCACAGUAAAGGGUGAUAGUCCCGUACACAAAAAUGCACAAGCUGUGAGUUCGAUGAGUAGGGCGGGACACGUGACAUCCUGUCUGAAUAUGGGGGGACCAUCCUCCAAGGCUAAAUACUCCUGACUGACCGAUAGUGAACCAGUACCGUGAGGGAAAGGCGAAAAGAACCCCGGCGAGGGGAGUGAAAUAGAACCUGAAACCGUGUACGUACAAGCAGUGGGAGCCUACUUGUUAGGUGACUGCGUACCUUUUGUAUAAUGGGUCAGCGACUUAUAUUCUGUAGCAAGGUUAACCGUAUAGGGGAGCCGCAGGGAAACCGAGUCUUAACUGGGCGUUAAGUUGCAGGGUAUAGACCCGAAACCCGGUGAUCUAGCCAUGGGCAGGUUGAAGGUUGGGUAACACUAACUGGAGGACCGAACCGACUAAUGUUGAAAAAUUAGCGGAUGACUUGUGGCUGGGGGUGAAAGGCCAAUCAAACCGGGAGAUAGCUGGUUCUCCCCGAAAGCUAUUUAGGUAGCGCCUCGUGAA
rnacentral:rRNA from 2 species